GGUUAAGCGACUAAGCGUACACGGUGGAUGCCCUGGCAGUCAGAGGCGAUGAAGGACGUGCUAAUCUGCGAAAAGCGUCGGUAAGGUGAUAUGAACCGUUAUAACCGGCGAUGUCCGAAUGGGGAAACCCAGUGUGAUUCGUCACACUAUCGUUAACUGAAUACAUAGGUUAACGAGGCGAACCGGGGGAACUGAAACAUCUAAGUACCCCGAGGAAAAGAAAUCAACCGAGAUUCCCCCAGUAGCGGCGAGCGAACGGGGAGCAGCCCAGAGUCUGAAUCAGCUUGUGUGUUAGUGGAACGGUCUGGAAAGUCCGACGGUACAGGGUGAUAGUCCCGUACACCAAAAUGCACAGGUUGUGAACUCGAAGAGUAGGGCGGGACACGUGGUAUCCUGUCUGAAUAUGGGGGGACCAUCCUCCAAGGCUAAAUACUCCUGACUGACCGAUAGUGAACCAGUACCGUGAGGGAAAGGCGAAAAGAACCCCGGCGAGGGGAGUGAAAAAGAACCUGAAACCGUGUACGUACAAGCAGUGGGAGCACCUUCGGGUGUGACUGCGUACCUUUUGUAUAAUGGGUCAGCGACUUAUAUUCUGUAGCAAGGUUAACCGUAUAGGGGAGCCGCAGGGAAACCGAGUCUUAACUGGGCGUUAAGUUGCAGGGUAUAGACCCGAAACCCGGUGAUCUAGCCAUGGGCAGGUUGAAGGUUGGGUAACACUAACUGGAGGACCGAACCGACUAAUGUUGAAAAAUUAGCGGAUGACUUGUGGCUGGGGGUGAAAGGCCAAUCAAACCGGGAGAUAGCUGGUUCUCCCCGAAAGCUAUUUAGGUAGCGCCUCGUGAAUUCAUCUUCGGGGGUAGAGCACUGUUUCGGCUAGGGGGUCAUCCCGACUUACCAACCCGAUGCAAACUACGAAUACCGAAGAAUGUUAUCACGGGAGACACACGGCGGGUGCUAACGUCCGUCGUGAAGAGGGAAACAACCCAGACCGCCAGCUAAGGUCCCAAAGUCAUGGUUAAGUGGGAAACGAUGUGGGAAGGCACAGACAGCCAGGAUGUUGGCUUAGAAGCAGCCAUCAUUUAAAGAAAGCGUAAUAGCUCACUGGUCGAGUCGGCCUGCGCGGAAGAUGUAACGGGGCUAAACCAUGCACCGAAGCUGCGGCAGCGACACUAUGUGUUGUUGGGUAGGGGAGCGUUCUGUAAGCCUGCGAAGGUGACCUGUGAGGGUUGCUGGAGGUAUCAGAAGUGCGAAUGCUGACAUAAGUAACGAUAAAGCGGGUGAAAAGCCCGCUCGCCGGAAGACCAAGGGUUCCUGUCCAACGUUAAUCGGGGCAGGGUGAGUCGACCCCUAAGGCGAGGCCGAAAGGCGUAGUCGAUGGGAAACAGGUUAAUAUUCCUGUACUUGGUGUUACUGCGAAGGGGGGACGGAGAAGGCUAUGUUAGCCGGGCGACGGUUGUCCCGGUUUAAGCAUGUAGGCUGGUUGUCCAGGCAAAUCCGGAUAAUCAAGGCUGAGGUGUGAUGACGAGGCACUACGGUGCUGAAGUAACAAAUGCCCUGCUUCCAGGAAAAGCCUCUAAGCAUCAGGUAACAUUAAAUCGUACCCCAAACCGACACAGGUGGUCAGGUAGAGAAUACCAAGGCGCUUGAGAGAACUCGGGUGAAGGAACUAGGCAAAAUGGUGCCGUAACUUCGGGAGAAGGCACGCUGGUGUGUAGGUGAAGUCCCUGCGGAUGGAGCUGAGACCAGUCGAAGAUACCAGCUGGCUGCAACUGUUUAUUAAAAACACAGCACUGUGCAAACACGAAAGUGGACGUAUACGGUGUGACGCCUGCCCGGUGCCGGAAGGUUAAUUGAUGGGGUUAUCCGUAAGGAGAAGCUCUUGAUCGAAGCCCCGGUAAACGGCGGCCGUAACUAUAACGGUCCUAAGGUAGCGAAAUUCCUUGUCGGGUAAGUUCCGACCUGCACGAAUGGCGUAAUGAUGGCCAGGCUGUCUCCACCCGAGACUCAGUGAAAUUGAACUCGCUGUGAAGAUGCAGUGUACCCGCGGCAAGACGGAAAGACCCCGUGAACCUUUACUAUAGCUUGACACUGAACAUUGAGCCUUGAUGUGUAGGAUAGGUGGGAGGCUUUGAAGCGUGGACGCCAGUCUGCGUGGAGCCAACCUUGAAAUACCACCCUUUAAUGUUUGAUGUUCUAACGUUGGCCCCUUACCGGGGUUGCGGACAGUGUCUGGUGGGUAGUUUGACUGGGGCGGUCUCCUCCCAAAGCGUAACGGAGGAGCACGAAGGUUAGCUAAUCCUGGUCGGACAUCAGGAGGUUAGUGCAAUGGCAUAAGCUAGCUUGACUGCGAGCGUGACGGCGCGAGCAGGUGCGAAAGCAGGUCAUAGUGAUCCGGUGGUUCUGAAUGGAAGGGCCAUCGCUCAACGGAUAAAAGGUACUCCGGGGAUAACAGGCUGAUACCGCCCAAGAGUUCAUAUCGACGGCGGUGUUUGGCACCUCGAUGUCGGCUCAUCACAUCCUGGGGCUGAAGUAGGUCCCAAGGGUAUGGCUGUUCGCCAUUUAAAGUGGUACGCGAGCUGGGUUUAGAACGUCGUGAGACAGUUCGGUCCCUAUCUGCCGUGGGCGCUGGAGAAUUGAGGGGGGCUGCUCCUAGUACGAGAGGACCGGAGUGGACGCAUCACUGGUGUUCGGGUUGUCAUGCCAAUGGCACUGCCCGGUAGCUAAAUGCGGAAGAGAUAAGUGCUGAAAGCAUCUAAGCACGAAACUUGCCCCGAGAUGAGUUCUCCCUGAGACUUUAAGUCUCCUGAAGGAACGUUAAAGACGAUGACGUUGAUAGGCCGGGUGUGUAAGCGCAGCGAUGCGUUGAGCUAACCGGUACUAAUGAACCGUGAGGCUUAACCUU
rnacentral:rRNA from 1 species